rnacentral:rRNA from 1 species
GACGAACGCUGGCGGCGUGCUUAACACAUGCAAGUCGAACGGAAAGGCCCUGCUUUUGUGGGGUGCUCGAGUGGCGAACGGGUGAGUAACACGUGAGUAACCUGCCCUUGACUUUGGGAUAACUUCAGGAAACUGGGGCUAAUACCGGAUAGGAGCUCCUGCUGCAUGGUGGGGGUUGGAAAGUUUCGGCGGUUGGGGAUGGACUCGCGGCUUAUCAGCUUGUUGGUGGGGUAGUGGCUUACCGAGGCUUUGACGGGUAGCCGGCCUGAGAGGGUGACCGGCCACAUUGGGACUGAGAUACGGCCCAGACUCCUACGGGAGGCAGCAGUGGGGAAUAUUGUACAAUGGGCGGAAGCCUGAUGCAGCAACGCCGCGUGCGGGAUGACGGCCUUCGGGUUGUAAACCGCUUUCGCCUGUGACGAAGCGUGAGUGACGGUAAUGGGUAAAGAAGCACCGGCUAACUACGUG